AAGAGGGGUGUUUUGAGCCUGCACACUGUGUGUGAAGGAUAUUGUGUUGGCUUGUGUCCGUACAGAGAAGCGAGAGAAAGAGGGGUGUUUUGAGUCUGGCAAAAGCGCUGAAAAUGAGCAGGAGACAGAAGACUCGGAACGGCAGCGAGAAUGCGUGGUGGAAGCUAAUGAGGGAAGCAUUCUCCAUGAGAAACUAAACAACAAUGUAAACACCGUUUACAACUAGUGGUUUCCUGGCCCGGCAAUAUUGAUCCUGAAUAGGCUUCUCUGCUCAACUUUUACAGAGGCUAGUUUUCUCCUGCUGGUGCUUGAUAGCCAGCUGUUGUCAUACCAUGCAAUUAUGAGCCCGUGCAAAAUCCUUUGCAGGGCUGCUUUUUUGUUUGUUGUGAUGAGAGAGGGAGGCUACGCUAACUGUGUAUCCUCAUUAUGGAAUGCAUGUAAGUGGUUGUGAGGCACAAUUAAAAAACUAAA